rnacentral:lncRNA from 1 species
UCAGAGUCCCAAUUUCCUGUGGGAGACAGUGAAUUCCCUGCCGCCUUUAGACCUCAGGAUCCCACAUUGCAUUUACUUGGCAUAUCUCUUUGGUCUCCACCAGUCUGUGACAAUUUCUCUGUAUUUUUUAAUCUAUCAUGACCCUGACACAUUUGAAGAGUAGUAGUCAGGUAUUUUGUAGAAUGUCCCUCAAUUUAAGCCUGUCUGAUCUUUUCUCAUGACUAAAUUAAGGAUAUGGAUUUUUGGGAAGAAUACCACAAAGGUGACGUGCCUUUCACUCACAUCAUAUCAAGAGGGCUAGUUUUAAUAACUAUCAGAAGAACCAGAUGCAAGUCUUGGUUGUAUAAGAUUAAGCUGGAUAAUAAAAUCAAGAUUAGAGACAGAAUGAGAAAGACCUGAGAAAACUCAAUGAGGUCAUGUUGUAGUUGGGACAAGGAUCUGAGUCUCCCGCCUUCCAGAUCUGUUUGCUCUGCAGUACCACACCUGGCCUCUGCUUGAGU